rnacentral:lncRNA from 1 species
AACAAAGCCUGUCUCUCUCCAGACUCCACUCUUCAGCAACAUACCACUCAGGAAAGGCCCUGAAAUCCAAAACAUCACUGAGGAGAUGUUUCAGUCUGUGUGAAGGUCAACACCCAGGGUACUGAGAGGGCACCAAGAGGUGCAUCGUGACAAAGAGGCCUGUCCCCCUGCAGAGCCUGGGCCUGGGCUUCAGAAGAUGCUGAUGAAGGCACUGGGUUUGUCCCAUCAUCCAAACACUUACAAUGAGGUGGUAUAUUGCUCCUCAGACAUGGAUGAGAUGCAUACUUCCAUCUGAGAAAUCAAGUCAGAACAGAAUAAGAUGCUUGAAGACUCCUGACAGGAAAAGACAAAAGAAGAUUAGAAACCUUGCAUGCAGCAGCAAAAACAGACUGUGAAUAUUGAAAGCAGGAUCCUGGAUUUUAAAUACAAGCUCAAUUUUCAGGUUUGGAUUUAACCUCUGCAUGUGAGCACAUCUGCCAGAUGAUCCAACCCACUGAUGCUACCUGCCCUCCUAAGCUGAUCUCCCUGGCUGAAGGGUCAGGAGGAGUACUGCCAACCUGGACAGGGUUUCUCAUCUUGAAGCAGAAGAUAGGAAGAGUACAUUCAAGUUAUGAAAUGCAGCAUCAGGGAGAAGAACAGUGCUGGGCCAAAAACCUUGCUUUGCCCCACCACUCAGCAUCGUGCUGCAGCAGGGAGAGGGCAGCAGUCCCUCUGGUACCCCUAUUCUCCAUGCAAAGAGCAGCAGACGGCGGUGAUCAGAUCCAGCCUUGCUGACCUUGCACCAACAUGGAUAUGGAGCAGCCACAUGAGUAGUCAACUUUUGAAUAAAUCACACUGCUCCUGCCACUCACAGUGCUGUCAAGUUACUUGUCAAAAUCAACGUGGUCAGAGUUUCAGCAAAGUGCCUCAGCCGUUUCCUGGAAUGAAACUGGGGGCAGGGGAAGGAGAGGGAAAUGUUGUCAAGGCAACAGUAAUCCCAUUAUUUUCUAACUUCUGAGUGCCUGAGUAGGCAACCUUUAUCUUCUUUCUGUGCCGUUUUUGUACAUAAUAAUAACAGCCACAAUUAUUCUCAUCGGCUUUAAGAAAAGUGAAGCAGGAAUAGCGAAGGGACAGUAAGACAUGCUUUUGCAAACAAAACAAACUAGUGCCGUCGUACUGCUGAUUGCUGGAUAUCCUGCUGCUGUGUUGAAAAAAGGCAUUCAGGGCCCAACUGCUCUGCUUGCAAUGUCCCUCUAAAUUGCCCUCCAUCCGGACAAGAUCAAGAAGCUCAUUUCCUCAUCUUGAAGUGCAACUGACAGCCUCCACACGCUCUGGUAUUGAAAUCGUUGAGCAUAUGUUAGUGUGCAGCAAUCAUUUCCCUCCAGAUUUUACGGCUCAUUGUCAUUUUUCACACAAUAAAAUGUUUUAAUGAGGAGGAAGGCUCUGCUUUAUGUUUUGGGGAAGGUCCCUGGGGAG